UACGGAGGGUGCAAGCGUUAUCCGGAUUCACUGGGUUUAAAGGGUGCGUAGGCGGAUAUGUAAGUCCGUGGUGAAAUCUCUGGGCUUAACCCGGAAACUGCCAUGGAUACUAUGUGUCUUGAAUGUUGUUGAGGUGAGCGGAUUAUGUCAUGUAGCGGUGAAAUGCUUAGAUAUGACAUAGAACACCAAUUGCGAAGGCAGCUCACUAAGCAAAUAUUGACGCUGAGGCACGAAAGCGUGGGGAUCAAACAGG
rnacentral:rRNA from 1 species